GCUACAUUACAAGAAGCAAAAAGAAACAGAUAAAAUGAAUUUCCAUAAUGUAUUUUAUUUAACCCAAUAUAUCCGACAUUAUCAUUUCAGCAUAUAAUCAAUAUAAAGAAUUAUGAGAUAUUUUUCUUUUUACUUUUUCAUACUCAAUUUUCCAAAUCUGGUGUACAUUUCAUACUAAGAGCACAUCUGAAUUUGGACAAGCUGCAUUUCAAGUGCAAUAGCUACACAGGGCUUAUGUCUACCUCACUAGACAGCACAACUUUAGAACAUGGGCUUCAUUUCUUUAUUUACAUGAGAAAACCGAGGCUCAGGGAGGAUAAGUAGUUUUCCCAAGGUCACGUGGCUGGCAAGUGGUUGACCCAGGAUUCUACCCUAGGUUAGCUGGACACCAAAGGCUUUACUCUUUCUACUGUACCACAUUGGCUGCUUCAACAGGCAGGAUUUGGGGGGGGGGGGGCGGGGGGAGGAAGCACUGGAUCACAGCCUUGCUUUUGAGAUGUAAACCAUUUCCCUUUUCCUUAGCCCAUGGGGUCUAAAUCUAUCUCUGACUUCCAAGCCUUCCACAGUUUAGCCUUUAGUGGUUCAUCCCCACUGUUCUCCAUUCAUGCCAGUCUCCCUUCCCACCCUGCACACAUAUAAUAUUAACCUGGACAUAGUUUACUCCUGCACUACCUACCCUUCCAGUGUCAGUUCACCAACUCUUUGAAAGAAGAUGGGCUCUUCUUUCUUUCCUGGUGGUGCUAUAUCUCCAGAAAGGUUGCGAAGGUCCCAGGAAUAUGAGGGAGCAAGAGGAAUCGGUCAAGUUUCCUCACUGUGAUGGGCCGAGGAGCUCUGUGUAUUCCCUGUGGAUAGUGGCCUGCCACUGGAGAGGCCACAGGCUGGAGCAAGGAGCUGACUCAUAGGGUAAGGAGAAAAUGGCCUGGAUCUUUCACAGAGAUUCAAGUAAUUCCUAGUACUCUACCUUCAGUGGGACACUUCUAAAAAUGAAUAAAGAAUUCCAACAAAUCAAUAAGAAAAAGACAAACAACCCAAAAGAAAAAUGGAUAAAAGAAAUGAACCAGAAAAUCAAAGAAGAAGAAAUGGCCAAUAAUGAUACGAAAAGAUGAAUGAUCUGUAUUAUAGUCUUUUGCAAUUUGCUGUUUUCAAUACAACACUAUGACUCUAAGCUUUUCAUCCACCCGUGGUAUUGUGUGUGGCAAUAUUCAUUUUCACUAGUGUGACAGUAUUUCAUUGGGUGAGUAUUCCACAAUUCUAUUCUCCCCAAAAUACAUGUAGCAUGAAUCUAUAUUUAUAAUGCUCAAAAACAGCUACAAAUCAUAUAUUAUAUUGCAAAACAAUACUUGAUAGAACUAUCUUUUUUUUAAAAAGCCAAGUAAUGAUAAAGACAAAUUUCAAGAUAAUGUUUCCUUGGGGAAGGGGGAGAUUGACAUUGGGGAUGGGAUGAGAGAAUGUAUCUGUUAUCUAUUGCUGCAUAAGGAACCACACUGAAGCUUAGUGGCUUAAAACAAAAAUCAAUUAUUUCUCAUGAUUCUCUGGGUCAAGACUUCCCACAGGGUUCUUCCACACAGAACCAUCUGGCCCUCUCGUGCAACUGCAUUCAGCAGGACUGGGCUGGAUGGUCAAGAUGGCCCCACCCUCAAGGCUGCUAUGCCUUGGACCUUUUCUACUUGAUUUCUCUCACCAUGUGGUGUCUCAUCCUCCAGGGCCUCUUUUUCCAUGUGGCCUUUCCCUCCAGCAGGGUAGACUGGAUGUUCUUUACAAGGAGAAAACACCCACAGAGUACUUGUGUAAUUAAAACUUAAUUACAAUUAAAAUAUAUUACCUAAUGAAAGAGUGCUCUGUGGCCAGAUCAUUUUUGGAAAUGCUGCAUACAGCAUCCCCUGUUAGAGCUUCAUAAUGCAAAAAAUAAAAAAAUAAAAAAAAAAUAAAGCUUGCUAAAGGCUUUGAGAAGUCUCACAAGGAGCAAAGAAGAAAAGACCUGCUUUGGUGAAAGGAGCUGGUAAGAGAAGGCAGAAGCGCUCCACCUUCUCUGUCCUCAGGGAUAUAGGAACGGAGUACUGAGGUAGAGAAAGCUGGAAGGCUGGGGCUCAUCAUCUGAACUCUGCUACUCCUCCUUCAAAGCGCAGUGUAACUGAGGGAGGCUCUGACAGCCUCACACGUGAGGCCGGAAGUGGCCUGGAGGCCAGAGAGUCAACAGUGCUGCUCCUGGAAUUAGGUCACCUAGGUCCCAGUCCCUCCCCGCUGCCCUGCCCUGCUCUUGAAUUAGCUCACUUUCCUGACUCCUAUCUCUAAUUUGCU